rnacentral:lncRNA from 1 species
UUCCUACCUAUAGAUUUUGAACUGUGAUAAGUUAGAUUGCGUCUCUUCACUUUCGAUCAGCUUCGAGGUCAUGAGUUUGCCGUGGUUAGUGAAUAGUUGUGCAUAUCGUUCGUGAUUAAAAGAUUUUCCUUCCUUAUUCAAAUCAACUCCCAUGGAGAAUUUGUCAGUGCUCAUGCUUCUCCAACUAGAUACCCACAAAAGCAUAAAGAACCCUACUUCUAAGAUGUGAACAUGAUUUGCCUGGAUGAAAAGGAAUAUGCACAAGCAUUUGCUUGGCUACCCUCCAACAAGAUGGUAAUACACGAACAAGAACUUAAGGUGGUUGUCUCAUUUCAGUAAAAAUCAGGUCGCGUCUCAGACAUAUGAUCGUGUAUGAGUAUCAAUCUUUUUCUCUACCAAAACAAAAAGAGCAAGGAAAAGAAAAAUCCUAGUAAGAGUAUCAAAAUCUAAUGGAGCUGCAACUGUUUGUGCACGAAAUUACAAAACGAGAGUGACGAGCGGUUGAGUGCAUUAAUGCCCAGGUCCUUUUUUGCUGGGUCCCGAAGCCAACUUCGCCGCUAGACUCCUCACGGAAUAGGGACGGGUCGUCUCGUUGCUAUUUGAAGAAAAAGCGAACGAAGCCAUCGCCCCCAUCGAAGCACCACGAUGAUCUUGGUCUCGAUCUUCUCCGCACCCGGAAACCGUAUCGCUCCGAAGAGUCCGACCAUGGAUGUGGCCGAACUGCGCAGAUGCCACCAAGAUCAGUAGACACAAGACCAAGCAGGAGCUCUUCAUCUGGUUGGGUUCUGCUCUUUACUGGUUGCCUCUCGAACUCGCUAAAGCACCACUUUUUCGCGUCUUGUCUUCUUGACCUUGAUGAUUCGAAUGCUUUGGAACUUGGGUUUGCGAUCUGUGUGUAUAUAUACAAGAAAGUGAGCAUUGGGACCGAGGGACGGUGAAGCCUAGCCUAGACCUUUCGGUCCGUGUGGAUGUACGGUGGGGCCAUUGGAUCUAUCAUGGAGAAAUUGGUGUUUUGACUAGGCCUUCAGCGCGCGCGCGAGAGAGAGAGAGAGGGAGAGGAAGUUUGAAACUUCAUGUGCUGUCCGAAUUUGACUUUUCAUUCGCAGAUGAAG